GGGUUGUGAGGUUAAGCGACUAAGCGUACACGGUGGAUGCCUAGGCAGUCAGAGGCGAUGAAGGGCGUGCUAAUCUGCGAAAAGCGUCGGCAAGGUGAUAUGAACCGUUAUACCCGACGAUACCCGAAUGGGGAAACCCAGUGUGAUUCGUCACACUAUCAUUAACUGAAUCCAUAGGUUAAUGAGGCGAACCGGGGGAACUGAAACAUCUCAGUACCCCGAGGAAAAGAAAUCAACCGAGAUUCCCCCAGUAGCGGCGAGCGAACGGGGAGGAGCCCAGAACCUGAAUCGGCUUGUGUGUCAGUGGAAGCGUCUGGAAAGGCGCACGAUACAGGGUGACAGUCCCGUACACGAAGAUGCACAGGUCGUGAGUUCGACGAGUAGGGCGGGACACGUGGUAUCCUGUCUGAACAUGGGGGGACCAUCCUCCAAGGCUAAAUACUCCUGACUGACCGAUAGUGAACCAGUACCGUGAGGGAAAGGCGAAAAGAACCCCGGCGAGGGGAGUGAAAUAGAACCUGAAACCGUGUACGUACAAGCAGUGGGAGCACCUUUAGGGUGUGACUGCGUACCUUUUGUAUAAUGGGUCAGCGACUUAUAUUCUGUAGCAAGGUUAACCGAAUAGGGGAGCCGCAGGGAAACCGAGUCUUAACUGGGCGUCUAGUUGCAGGGUAUAGACCCGAAACCCGGUGAUCUAGCCAUGGGCAGGUUGAAGGUUGGGUAACACUAACUGGAGGACCGAACCGACUAAUGUUGAAAAAUUAGCGGAUGACUUGUGGCUGGGGGUGAAAGGCCAAUCAAACCGGGAGAUAGCUGGUUCUCCCCGAAAGCUAUUUAGGUAGCGCCUCGUGAACUCAUCUUCGGGGGUAGAGCACUGUUUCGGCUAGGGGGCCAUCCCGGCUUACCAACCCGAUGCAAACUGCGAAUACCGAAGAAUGUUAUCACGGGAGACACACGGCGGGUGCUAACGUCCGUCGUGAAGAGGGAAACAACCCAGACCGCCAGCUAAGGUCCCAAAGUCAUGGUUAAGUGGGAAACGAUGUGGGAAGGCCCAGACAGCCAGGAUGUUGGCUUAGAAGCAGCCAUCAUUUAAAGAAAGCGUAAUAGCUCACUGGUCGAGUCGGCCUGCGCGGAAGAUGUAACGGGGCUAAAACCAUGCACCGAAGCUGCGGCAGCGACACUGUGUGUUGUUGGGUAGGGGAGCGUUCUGUAAGCCUGUGAAGGUGGCCUGUGAGGGCUGCUGGAGGUAUCAGAAGUGCGAAUGCUGACAUAAGUAACGAUAAUGCGGGUGAAAAACCCGCACGCCGGAAGACCAAGGGUUCCUGUCCAACGUUAAUCGGGGCAGGGUGAGUCGACCCCUAAGGCGAGGCUGAAAAGCGUAGUCGAUGGGAAACAGGUUAAUAUUCCUGUACUUGGUGUUACUGCGAAGGGGGGACGGAGAAGGCUAUGUCAUCCGGGCGACGGUUGUCCCGGUUUAAGCGUGCAGGUGGGUGGACCAGGUAAAUCCGGUCUGCUGUUAACACUGAGGCGUGAUGACGAGGCACUACGGUGCUGAAGUGACAGAUGCCCGGCUUCCAGGAAAAGCCUCUAAGCAUCAGGUAACAUUGAAUCGUACCCCAAACCGACACAGGUGGUCAGGUAGAGAAUACUCAGGCGCUUGAGAGAACUCGGGUGAAGGAACUAGGCAAAAUGGUGCCGUAACUUCGGGAGAAGGCACGCUCCUGUUGGUGAAGUCCCUUGCGGAUGGAGCUGAGGGGAGUCGCAGAUACCAGCUGGCUGCAACUGUUUAAUAAAAACACAGCACUGUGCAAACACGAAAGUGGACGUAUACGGUGUGACGCCUGCCCGGUGCCGGAAGGUUAAUUGAUGGGGUUAUCCGUAAGGAGAAGCUCUUGAUCGAAGCCCCGGUAAACGGCGGCCGUAACUAUAACGGUCCUAAGGUAGCGAAAUUCCUUGUCGGGUAAGUUCCGACCUGCACGAAUGGCGUAAUGAUGGCCAGGCUGUCUCCACCCGAGACUCAGUGAAAUUGAACUCGCUGUGAAGAUGCAGUGUACCCGCGGCAAGACGGAAAGACCCCGUGAACCUUUACUAUAGCUUGACACUGAACCUUGAGCCUUGAUGUGUAGGAUAGGUGGGAGGCUUUGAAGUGUGGACGCCAGUCUGCAUGGAGCCAACCUUGAAAUACCACCCUUUAAUGUUUGAUGUUCUAACCUGGGCCCGUAAUCCGGGCUGGGGACAGUGUCUGGUGGGUAGUUUGACUGGGGCGGUCUCCUCCCAAAGAGUAACGGAGGAGCACGAAGGUUAGCUAAUCCUGGUCGGACAUCAGGAGGUUAGUGCAAAGGCAUAAGCUAGCUUGACUGCGAGAGUGACGGCUCGAGCAGGUGCGAAAGCAGGUCUUAGUGAUCCGGUGGUUCUGAAUGGAAGGGCCAUCGCUCAACGGAUAAAAGGUACUCCGGGGAUAACAGGCUGAUACCGCCCAAGAGUUCAUAUCGACGGCGGUGUUUGGCACCUCGAUGUCGGCUCAUCACAUCCUGGGGCUGAAGUAGGUCCCAAGGGUAUGGCUGUUCGCCAUUUAAAGUGGUACGCGAGCUGGGUUUAGAACGUCGUGAGACAGUUCGGUCCCUAUCUGCCGUGGGCGUUGGAAGAUUGAGGGGGGUUGCUCCUAGUACGAGAGGACCGGAGUGAACGCACCGCUGGUGUUCGGGUUGUCAUGCCAAUGGCACUGCCCGGUAGCUACGUGCGGAAGAGAUAACCGCUGAAAGCAUCUAAGCGGGAAACUUGCCCCGAGAUGAGUCUUCCCUGGGCCCUUGAGGCCCCUGAAGGGACGUUCGAGACGAGGACGUUGAUAGGCUGGGUGUGUAAGCGUAGCGAUACGUUGAGCUAACCAGUACUAAUGACCCGAGAGGCUUAACCUUACAACACCGAAGGUGUUU
rnacentral:rRNA from 1 species